rnacentral:rRNA from 1 species
UAGUUGCUACGAAAGGGCACUCUAAUGAGACUGCCGGUGACAAACCGGAGGAAGGUGGGGAUGACGUCAGGUCCUCAUGGCCCUUAUGGGUAGGGCUACACACGUCAUGCAAUGGCCGGUACAGAGGGCUGCCAACCCGCGAGGGGGAGCCAAUCCCAGAAAACCGGUCGUAGUCCGGAUCGCAGUCUGCAACUCGACUGCGUGAAGUCGGAAUCGCUAGUAAUCGCGGAUCAGCUUGCCGCGGUGAAUACGUUCCCGGGUCUUGUACGCACCGCCCGUCACACCAUGGGAGCGGGUUCUGCCAGAAGUAGUUAGCCUAACCGCAAGGAGGGCGAUUACCACGGCAGGGUUCGUGACUGGGGUG